rnacentral:rRNA from 1 species
UACGGGGGGGGCAAGCGUUGUCCGGAAUCAUUGGGCGUAAAGGGCGCGUAGGUGGCUUCUUAAGCGUGCGGUGAAAGCCUGGGGCUCAACCCCGGGUCGGCCGUGCGAACUGGGGGGCUGGAGCACUGUAGAGGCAGGCGGAAUUCCGGGUGUAGCGGUGGAAUGCGUAGAGAUCCGGAAGAACACCGGUGGCGAAGGCGGCCUGCUGGGCAGUUGCUGACACUGAGGCGCGACAGCGUGGGGAGCAAACAGG